UCAAGUUUCCAAAUUUUGUGGGAGCUCGUUUUCCCUAGGGAAGUCAUUUCGAUUGUCGUGGCAGUCAACGUGUUAAUGAUUAACAAAAGAACAGAGUGUAUCAGGAAGUACUCGAUAAUCCAUGCCUGAAGUUCGAUGACCAUAUAUAUAUAAUUAAAAAGACCAAGGAAAGCGCAACGAAAUAACAACGCUCGGUACGGUAGGAAGUAGUGUCGGAAUUUAUAAUAUAUACAUGUACGUAACAUGCGAAAAAGCGAAAACGAAAACGGUAUAAGGGUUUUAAGUCUUAACUGCGAGUACACGUACAUUAAACACACACAUACACGUACACAUGCGUACACACCUGUAACAUAUUCGGAAGACCGCGUGCCACAGGAUAAAAAAUCAAUGUAGUGGGCCCUGUAUAGCCACGGCCUGUUAAACAGAACUACGUGCGAAUAAAUUUAUAAAUAAUAUACUUAAUAUAAUUGACAAGUAAAUCGUUAAAUGAAACAAUGAUUCCUGUGUAUAAAAAAAGAUCCUCAGUCUAACAGAGUUAAAAAAAAAAGAAACAAAAAAGAGGACGAGUCAGCGUUAAGCGUUCAUUUAUCGUGGCGAUUAACGUUGACUCGUGAUAAUAUAGAUAAAAAGAGAAACGGAGGUGACAUUCUCGAGGGGACAAUUAGUCGAUAUUAAGAGAAAUCGCAUUAUCACGAGACGUACGAGUUUAGAUUAUUAAUUAAUAUCGAGCGAGCGGUAGUGAUAUAAACACGAGACGAGAAUUUACGUUACCCUCCCUUUUAUCGCGAGACCUCGUUUUAAAAUCGGGAUCUCCUAAAGUAUUGCUCAUUGACCAGUCGAGACUGAGGAUAUUGUUCAAUGUGAAAUAUAUAGGUGGAACGGAAAAAAAAAGAAAAAAAGAAAAAAAAUAUUAAAAAAUGGACUGAACAAGCGGAUCGAGAGAGAACGAUUUACCAAACGAAGCAUGGAAAUUUUAUUUCCGAACAAGUGUAUUGCAAGUGUGUCGAUACCCUUGAUAAAAGAAAAAAAAUAUGUAUUGCAAGUGAAAGCUGGAUUUACGAGCUCGCACGAUUUGCGUCAAUCAAUCUGCGCGUGCAAAUUAUCUCGAACGAAUUGAAUCCCGUUUACAUACUCAAUUUAAAGUGCUAAAUAAGGUUCUAAAUUUUAAAGGUGUCGCGCGAAAACGGUGGAGGGUCGAGUGCACAUGCGCGGAGCUCAAACGUGUUGCGCCUGUGCAGACGUGAAAUUUUUAUUGGCAGGUUAAUUCGCGUGAAUUUCGCGAGAGUGUAAACCCAGCUCAAAUACGGAGAUAUACAUAUAUGUAUGAAGUUAGAAAAAAAAUGGGAAGAAAGCGAAGGAAACAAUUUAAUUUCUCCGUGCGUGCUCGUUUAGUUGUCGGUUAGGUUGCGUGAACCCGCUUCAUACGAUGUAUCGAAAAGAAAGAAAAAUCUUCCAUCGUGCGGGUGUAUCUAUAUUUUAUAUUAGUGGAUCCAUUAAGGGUCACAUCGUUCGUUUCUUUCGUUUCUUGCAUGCAAACUGUUUGUUUCUCGCGAGUAUUUGUACAAGCACAAACUAUAGAUUUCCUUUCGAUGAAGGAUCAUAGGAUAAGUUAUCGAACGAAUCCUUUGGCGUUUCUGUUUUACCGUUUGGUUGUUAAUCGCCAUCGAUUCGUCGUUAGUUCGAUGUUUCGAUCGUAAGCUCUUAGUUGAAAUGGGAUAAGGCGUGCAUGAUAUUAAAAAUCGAAAGAUUAUCGUGUGUAACUAUCGCGCGUGCGCAGAACAAAAAAAUGAAAACAACGUUAUGCUUAUUUUAAACGUCGUUUAAUGCUAAUGUUGCGUUUGCUCGUUCUCGUUCAUUUUGUUCGUUAAUUAUAGUACAAUGUCGGAUCAGUAUAACGUCCUGCUCAAUAACGACUGACAAACCAAUUAUUCUGAUUAAUUGUAUAUACGUAUUCUUAUCGUGAAUAAUGAGGUAAACAAGCGCUGAAUGAAUUCCCGAAUUUUCAACCGAAAUUCGAUUUUAUCGAACAUACCGUGCGACACGUAACCGCAGAUAUAAUAAUAAAGAGAAACAUCGUAAAGCUGAUUGGAACAAGGUAUCGUUGAUCCUCGAAACUUCUCCAGACAGUGAUUACCAUAGAAGUGAGAAUAGAAUGCCGCUGAUUCGUUUUAAUCUUUAUCAUCAUUGAUCGCUGUCUAGAACUGUGAUGGGCAACUCUUAUUUAUUGCCAACUGAUUUUUAUAUUUCUUGAUUUUCAAAUUUCCAAAUUUUCAAAUUACCAAUUUUCUAAGUUUCUAAAUUUCAAUAUUUGGAAGUGUGUAAAUGCGAACAAAUUUCAACGCUCGAGAGUUUGUAAGCUGAAAAUUUUAAAGGAUUGAAAAUUUGAAAAUUUGAAAAUUCUAGAAUCUGAAAAUAUUGAAUCCAUUGCAGAGCCGUGCCCGUGAGCACUUCGGGCACUUAAUCUGCCCAUUGCUGGUCUAGAAAAUAAUGGAGAGUGAACAAUCUCACCGGGCCUGGGUCAACUAUAAAUAUGGUAAAUUAUUAUAUAAUCUGCGACAAUGCGUAUCACGUUCAUUCUUCGUAAUUCAAACCAGGCAAUCACGUUCUCAUGUUUUAUAUAUUAUUGGUACAGAAUGUACCAUUUUGGGAUUGAAUCAGUCCAGGCGUAUUUGAGCGUCCACGAGAAAUAACGAUGCAAUAUUAUCAAAGGGUUUUCACGGUAAUAAAACAUCUUCUGUAACAUUGCAACGAAUUACAUCAACGUGCGACGAUGAUGAUCAUCGUUAAAAGACGCCUAGAGUGAUCCUAACCUUAUCGUCAUCAUGUUUCAAAAUUAAACCGAAUAAAAAGAAAAUCGAUGAAUCAAAGAUGACGGUUUUUCGUUUAAUUCGGGAUUUUGGUAAUGCGAGCAAUCAUCUUACAGAACGUACAUAUUAUUUUUCACGAUAUUAUAAAAAAAUAAAUGAAGCGCGAUUUUGAAGUAUGAGACAGUAAUUGGGGCAGAAAUAUAAAGAUUAUUUUGAACAUAGGAUAAAAAUCAUGUAGUUUAGUUAUGAGAUCGUGAACAAAAUUCAAAACUGUAAACCCUAAUUUGAUUGUUUUUAGUAAAUAGAAAGAAAUUAUAUUGUAAGCAAAGUAUUAAAAAAAAAUUCAAGAAAGGAAAGGUUGGCAGUUUUUAAACAAGCCAAAUCAAAUCGUUGAAUAAUCUGAAUUGAAAAGUUAAAAUAUAUUAAAUUUAAUAUACAAAGUAUCCAGUGCUAAUUGGCAAUGAGCUAGUAACUUCAUUAAGAUAAAUUAUCUAAAGCAUGGAAAGAAAUAUGCACUGGAAAUGUUUGGUAGGAUCAUGAAGAUUAAUAGAACCAUGUCAUUGUUUAAAGCAUGGCACUGUUAUAGCACAUAUCUAUGAUUUAUAGGUUCUUUUCAAAAUGUAUAUGAUACAUGAUAUUAGAGGAGUCCCUAAAGCAUAUUAAAUAUUUCACUUGCAUUUGUAUAAUUGCAAAAUUCAUGUCUUAUUUGAAAUAUUUUUUCAAUUGGAGAUCCAUUGCAAAAGAUGAGUAAUUAUGGAAAAACUAUUGGGACACUUAGAAAUUGAAAAAUUGAAAUGAUUUAAUUUUGCUCAUAAUGGAGUUAAUUAGAUAGAAAAAUCUGCCCUGUAACUUCAAAAUCGCAAUGUUAUGAAAAGAGGUAAGGUAUUUUAAAUUUCGAGGUACACACCUAAGAUCUAAUUUUUAUUGUUUUAGUGUGUUUACUGUGUAACAUUAUUAUAAGUACAAAACGUUUCUCUAUGUAGUUUAAGAUAUGUAAUAAGUUGAAACAAGAAAGGAAUAUAUCUAUCAGAGAAUCAUGAGUGUUGAUUUUUUUAAAAGGAGUAAAGUAAAAUCAAAUAGUUCAUUUAUGUUGUUACUCAAGCGACUCCCUAAUACAUAAUGCACCAUUUGAUGUAUAUUUGAUGAAUAAGAGAUUCUUGAAUCAAAAAAUGUUUUUUCUUUGUAAUCAAUGCCUAUAUUUGUAUAUUUGUAGAAUUUGUGAUGUUGAAUUGUGUUUAAAGAAUCAUUUGCUUUGACUUUAUUUUAAGAAUUUAUUUGUAUGCUAAUUUAAUGUGCCGUUUUUAUAACGAAUCCGUCUUUUUAAUUAUACCAACUUUUUCAACUUCAAAUUUUUUAUUAAAAUGUGCUAAUCACUGUACAACAGUAAGAGGAAGCAUUAUUUAAUUUAAUAAACUGAUAAUAUUA